GAUAGUCUUUGAGGCGAGGUGAGGAAGCUGGGCUUUCAAUUCCCGACCGGCGGUUAUAGUCCGUGAGCUCAUGCCGAGUUGAACCGGUGCAAUUCCGGUACCGACAGUACAGUCUGGAUAAAAAAGACAGUG
rnacentral:ncRNA from 2 species